rnacentral:rRNA from 1 species
GUAGGGAAUAUUGCGCAAUGGACGAAAGUCUGACGCAGCGACGCCGCGUGAGUGAUGAAGGCCUUAGGGUCGUAAAGCUCUGUUGAAUGGGAAGAAAAAAAUGACGGUACCAUUCGAGGAAGGACCGGCUAACUUCGUGCCAGCAGCCGCGGUAAUACGAGGGGUCCUAGCGUUGUUCGGAAUCAUUGGGCGUAAAGGUAGUGUAGGUGGCCAUGUAAGUCAGGUGUGAAAGCCCCGGGCUCAACCCGGGAAGUGCAAUUGAUACUGCGUGGCUUGAGUACCGAAGAGGGUAGUGGAAUGCCAGGUGUAGUGGUGAAAUACGUAGAUAUCUGGAGGAACACCGGUGGCGAAGGCGGCUACCUGGUCGAGUACUGACACUGAGACACGAAAGCAUGGGGAUCAAACAGGAUUAGAUACCCUGGUAGUCC